rnacentral:rRNA from 1 species
AUGCUCGACAUCCUGAAUUUAAGCUCCAAUAGCUUAACUGGUGAAAUACCACAAGAAAUCUGCAACCUCACAAACCUGCAAAUUCUUGAUCUGUCGAACAACCAGCUCACAGGUGAAAUACCAUCUGCACUGAGUGACCUGCACUUCCUUUCCAGAUUUGAUGUUUCUAACAACAAGCUAGAAGGGGAAGUUCCAAGUGGAGGACAGUUUGAUUCUUUUUCAAAUUCCAGCUACAGUGGGAAUCCAAAGCUAUGCGGGCCUAUGAUCAACAAUGACUGCAACUCAAGACCAUCUCCAGCCUCUGGGAAGCGAUGGAACAACUUGCGUCCUGCAUUAGUUAUUGGAAUCACCGCGGGGGGGCUCAUUGCUCUUGUUUUGCUUGCAUGCUUCCUUAUUGCAAGGUUAGCAUAUGAUGAUCACACUGAAAAUGUGGUUCCCCUUCGAAGAAGGCGGUGA